GGAAAAUGUCCGGUUGCUGCCACACCCAAAGCAUAGAGUUGCAAAAUAUAUUGUUGGCGUAUCUGAUUAGGAGCAACAACAGACAGUUAACUUGUCGGAUGGCUGCUGAGUCUGAGAUGUGGGCAUCAAAGAAGCUGUAUGCAAAAGAGAUGUAUUGUGGGACAGUUCUGUGACAAGAUGCAGUUACAUUGCUCAACUGGGAAGUGGGUGUCUCUUGUUUCUUGGCAUUUGGUAUAUGUGGGACAAGAUUACAUGAGACGUGUGUACAACUACUUCAUGGAUGCUCAGGUC
rnacentral:misc_RNA from 1 species